rnacentral:rRNA from 1 species
GGCGUGCCUAACACAUGCAAGUCGAGCGGGGAUUGUGGAGAGCUUGCUCAAAGCAAUUCUAGCGGCGGACGGGUGAGUAACGCGUGAGCAACCUGCCUAUCACAGGGGAAUAACGCACCGAAAGGUGUGCUAAUACCGCAUGAGACCACAGGACCGCAUGGUCAAGGGGUCAAAGAUUUAUCGGUGGUAGAUGGGCUCGCGUCUGAUUAGCUAGUUGGUGAGGUAACGGCCCACCAAGGCGACGAUCAGUAGCCGACCUGAGAGGGUGAUCGGCCACAUUGGAACUGAGAAACGGUCCAAACUCCUACGGGAGGCAGCAGUGGGGAAUAUUGGGCAAUGGGCGCAAGCCUGACCCAGCAACGCCGCGUGAAGGAAGAAGGUCUUCGGGUCGUAAACUUCUAUCCUUGGUGAAGAUAAUGACGGUAGCCAAGAAGGAAGCCCCGGCUAACUACGUGCCAGCAGCCGCGGUAAUACGUAGGGGGCAAGCGUUGUCCGGAAUGAUUGGGCGUAAAGGGCGCGUAGGCGGCCUGUUAAGUCUGAAGUGAAACUCCCGCUUUUAAGGUGGGAACUGCUUUGGAUACUGAUGGGCUUGAGUGCAGGAGAGGUAAGCGGAGUUCCCGGUGUAGCGGUGAAAUGCGUAGAGAUCGGGAGGAACACCAGUGGCGAAGGCGGCUUACUGGACUGUAACUGACGCUGAGGCGCGAAAGUGUGGGGAGCAAACAGGAUUAGAUACCCUGGUAGUCCACACUGUAAACGAUGAAUGCUAGGUGUAGGGGGGUAUCGACCCCUUCUGUGCCGGAGUUAACACAAUAAGCAUUCCGCCUGGGGAGUACGGCCGCAAGGUUGAA